AAGCCAGUAAGAAACAGAUGACGAGUUAGACCUGCUUUAUUGCACCGUGAUAAGAAGGAAUCAGAGUGCCCACUGUUUUAGCUGCAAGUUGAAGGUUGGCUAUAUGCUGCAGAUGCGACAAUUUGUCGGCAAGAAGCUGUGGCUACGAAUUGUCGGCAACUUCCAGGAAGUCCACGGUAAAGCGGUAAAAGAAAAGUUCGUUCGUGACGUCUUUGGCGUGUAGCUUUGCAGAGUGAAGAGGGGGGCAAAUUGCAAAAAGUGGAAAAAUUUGGAAGUGCAAAAAGUUGUGUGGAAAAUUUUCAUUCCCGCAAGUUUUAGCCUCCACAGAUUUUGCUGCCCUUAGUUGCCAAAGUUGAACCAUAUCCUUCCUUGUCUCAUCGCAGAAAGCAUCCCCCCAUCACCAUUGCAGAACACUUUCAUCCUAAUUCCAAUCCCAAGCGAGAAAAAAAUGGCUGAUGCUGCUGUUAGUGCUACUAUUAAGGUUGCAUUGCAGGCGGUUGUUUCCCUUGCUGCUGAUCAUGUUAAUCUGGCUCGUGAAUUCCCAGAGGAGCUGGAGAGACUCAACAAAUCUGCUGAAAUGAUCCGAGGCUUCUUGGCCGGUGCUGACGAGGUAAAACAUAGCCAUGAUCCGAGGCUUCUUGGGGUGCAAAAGUGGCUCGAGCAGCUGGAAGAAGAGGUUUUCAAAGCUGACAAUGUGCUGGACGAGCUCAACUAUGAAAAUCUUCGUCGGCAGGUGAAGUAUCAACAUCAACUCAUGAAAAAGAAGGUAUUCUUCUGCUUUUCAUUCUUUAAUAAAAUUGGUUUUCGUUCGAGGUUGGCUUCAACGAUCAGGGAGAUCAACACGAACCUUGAAAGGAUCCAUCGGGAUGCCGACGGUUUGGGGCUGGCCUACAAGCCCCAAGUUGAAGAAGCAUUCGCUACUAUUGCUACUGGAGCCACAAGCAGAAGACAGACCGACUCGAAGAUUGUUCGAAGUGAUGUCCGAGGAAGAGACGAGGAUGAAUCAGAAAUAGUUAUGAAGUUGUUGACCGAAUCUGAAAGUGAUCGUAUUUCAGUUAUUUCCGUAACUGGCAUGGGUGGUUUAGGCAAAACAACUCUAGCUAAAGCCGUUUUCAACACUCCACAGUUUGAUAAUCAUUUUGACAAAAAAAUUUGGGUUUGUGUGGCUGAAAAAGUAGAUAGAAUCGAGGUGGUCUUCAAAAUGAUUCUAGAAUCGUCAACAGGAAGAAAGGCUGAAGUGGAUAAUAGGCAAGUAAUAGUUGACGGAAUUGAAACUGAACUUAAGGAAAAAAGAUAUUUGCUUGUUCUUGACGAUUUGUGGAAUGAUCAAGAAGGAUUGUUGAAUGACUUUUUCACCACUUUGGAGGCACUCAAACCGAAGAAAGGGAGCUGGUGUCUUGUUACUUCUCGUCUCCAAGAAGCGGCAAUUGUUCUGUCAAGACAUCGGCGGAUCAAUUUUACUCGUCAUGACCUAAGAAAGCUAUACGAUGAUGACUGCUGGUCUAUCGUGAAAAAUUGGGCAAAUGUAGGGGAAGAAGUGCCAAAAGAAUUGGAAGCCUUAAGGAAGCGAGUUUUAAGAAGAUGUGACGGUCUACCUCUGGCAGCAACGUUAAUUGGAGGUUUGUUAUCUAAAAAGAGAAAAGAGGAGUGGCUAUCUAUUUUGGAGGAGAGCCUCUUGAAUGGAGAUCAGGGUGGGAUCGAGCAAAUAAUUAAGGUGAGUUUUGAUCAUCUGUCACCUGCACCGGUUAAGAAAUGCUUCGCAUAUUGCUCAAUUUUUGAUCAAGAUACUGAAUUGGAACAAGAUCUACUAGUUGAGCAUUGGAUGGCUGAAGGCUUUCUUCAACCGGAUUCCCAAAAUGAAAGAAUGAUGGAGAAAAUAGGAUAUGAGUAUUUGAGAAUUUUGCUGCAAACUUCCUUAUUGGAAGAAGUAAAAGAUGAGUGGGGAACAUGGUAUAAAAUGCAUGACCUUGUGCAUGAUUUUGCAAAAUCAAUUUUGAAUCGUAAUGGCAGCAAUCAGGACCGUUACCUUGCAGUAUACUCAUCCGAAAGAGAAACCAUCAAUGAAAAACCAUCACUUCGCACAUUAUUUCUGAAGGGUGGCAUAGCUGAUGAUAUGUUGUCAAAGUUCAAAUACUUACAUGUCCUAAAAUUGUUUGGAGCAGAUGUCAAAGAGUUGCCGACCUCCAUUGGCAAACUAAUACAUUUACACUUACUUGACAUUUCAGGUUCUAGGAUUAGAACUUUGCCAGAAUCUCUAUGCAAACUUUACUGUUUGCAAACACUGAGAAUUGGCAUGCUUGUAUGCAGGUUUCCAAAGGAGAUGAGCAAUUUGAUUAGCAUGAGACAUCUUCACCAUUAUGAUUAUGAUACAAGACACCGAAUCCAGAUGCCAUCCGGGAUUGGACGAUGGACUUGUCUUCAAACGUUAGAGUUCUUUAAUAUAGGUCGUCAAGAGGAAGGUCAUGGUAUCCAAGAGCUUGGAACCUUGCAAGAUCUUAAAGGCUCCUUGGAGAUCGGAAAUCUUGAAUUAGUAAAUGGCAAAGAUGAUGCUGAACUGGCGAAGCUAUCUAAAAAGCCAAAUCUGCAUCGGUUGGUAUAUGAGUGGGGCAAUAGGGAUCGGGGAAGUGAUAAUUGUGAUGAAGAUGUGUUGGAAGGCCUCCAACCUCACCCAAAUUUAAAAGAGUUACAAAUUUUGAAGUUCAUGGGUGAUCAGUUUCCACAAUGGUUCAUGACAUUGACAUCACUGGUGGAGUUGCGGGUGGAGGAUUGCACAAGAUGCAGAAAGCUCCCAGCACUAGGACAGCUGCCAUUCCUCAAGUGCCUCUAUUUGACUGGAUUGGAAAACAUAAGAAGCAUUGGGCUUUCAUUCUACAGUACAAGUGCUGAGGAGGACGGCGGAUCAGGAGGUUCAAGCACUAUUAGCAGACAAACAUUCUUUCCAGCCCUUAAAAUUCUCUCUCUUAAAAGCAUGAAAAAUUUGGAAGAGUGGAAGGACGCGCACGAAAUGAUGUCAACCGCAGGUGAAGUACAUGUGAUGGAUGUGUUUCCCGUGCUUGAAACGCUGUCUAUUAGUGAUUGCCCCCGGCUGACCACCAUUCCAACUCCAAGUCGCUUCCCUAGUCUUGAUGUAUUGGAAAUAAAAAGGAAUUGCCAUGUUUCGCUGGCAGAAAAGGUUUUGAGAAUUGAUUCAUUUGGAUAUCCAAAUCCUAAAAAUUCAUUUGGACAGAAAGGCCUCCUUAAGUCUCUUGAGCGAUUUACUGUCGUUGAGUGCGAUGCAUUGACAAGGUUACCAGCGGAGAUGUUCGAGUCGUGUACGUCUCUCCGAGAGCUGAAUUUGUUCGGUUGCCGCAGUCUGGUCUCCUUUCCCCUUGAUUUGCGACGAACCCCUUCUCUCGAGAGCUUCAAAUUAUUCGACUGUCCCAACUUGAUUGCUGAGAUGCCUAGUGGAUUUGGCUAUCUUACCAGCUUAAGGGAAGUGACGAUUGGUCCCUUCUCGGAUGACUCUGCAAUCAAAUUUGAUUGGGCUGGAUUAGCAUCUUCAUCAUCACUCCGACACGUGGCUUUACGUGGAAUGCGUGACACGGAAUCUCUGCCACAUCAGCUUCAAUGCUUGACUACCAUCACAUCACUAAAUCUACAAAACUUCGGAGCAAUCGAAGCCUUACCAGAUUGGCUUGGGAACCUUGCGUCUCUUGAAGAGCUAAUCCUAUUCUGGUGCCAAAAGCUUGAAUAUUUACCCUCCGUAGAUGCCAUGGAACGCCUCAAAUUAAGACUUCUGGAAAUUCGUUUUUGUCCUCUAUUAACCAAAAGAUGCACUCCUGAAAGCGGCUCCGAGUGGCCCAAGAUCUCUAAUAUUCCAAAGCUUGGAAUUCAUCCGGAAGCAUCAAGCACUGAUAACUCCGAAACAUUGUGAAAGGCUCAAAAGUGUGCUCAAGGCAGAGUCAGCCUGGAACCUCUAGAGCAUCUUAUUGCACUUUUCACAUUCUCCAACUACAACAUCAGGCUGUGGUUUCCCAUCAUUUUUGAAGAAAGAUGAGGAGGAAGCAGUGGCUUCCAAGCAAAAAUGUAAUGGAUGGUGAUGUGGUAGGCAAUUGUUCACUUAAGGAGUGAUGAUCAGUCUUCUAGAAAGCAAUGUGCGACGGAGUAAAUGAAGAGGUUUCUUCUAAUUUGAUUUGCUUCAGACAGAGGAAAGCAUAUCAAGGAACCAAUUUGCUGCUGAGACUAGUAGCCAAUUUGGUUGAUCUUGGUUCCAUUCCAUUAUAAGCUCUCUGGAUUCCUCUACUUGUCAAUCGCAUGAACAUAGAUCUCAUAUCAUUGGAAGCAUUGAAAGUGAGAGGAUGAGAAAGGCAAGAGCAUUGGAAGCUAGUUGCUGGAUUGUAGGCGUGAAAAAGUCCUUCAAUUCACAUUUCUAUUAUUUGUUGCUACACUAAAGUUUUGCUCUAUAGUACUGUAUCCCAAGACUUCAGUUUAACUAUACUAAAAGCGUCGUACACAUGGCUAGCUAGAAUGCAUGUAUUACUCUAGCUUGGCUUGCAGACAGAAAGAGCAUUGCAACAGAUACUUGAGAAAAUGAAAAGAGUUAGUCC